GCCUGGCUCCGUGGCAGAACAUCUGCUUUGCAUGCAGAAGGUUCCAGGUUCAAUCCCCGGGUUCUCCA